AGAGUUUGAUCAUGGCUCAGAACGAACGCUGGCGGCAUGCCUAACACAUGCAAGUCGAACGAGACCUUCGGGUCUAGUGGCGCACGGGUGCGUAACGCGUGGGAACCUGCCUUUAGGUUCGGAAUAACUCAGAGAAAUUUGAGUUAAUACCGGAUAAUGUCUUCGGACCAAAGAUUUAUCGCCUUUAGAUGGGCCCGCGUAAGAUUAGCUAGUUGGUGGGGUAAAGGCCUACCAAGGCGACGAUCUUUAGCUGGUCUGAGAGGAUGAUCAGCCACACUGGGACUGAGACACGGCCCAGACUCCUACGGGAGGCAGCAGUGGGGAAUAUUGGACAAUGGGCGAAAGCCUGAUCCAGCAAUGCCGCGUGAGUGAUGAAGGCCUUAGGGUUGUAAAGCUCUUUUACCCGAGAUGAUAAUGACAGUAUCGGGAGAAUAAGCUCCGGCUAACUCCGUG
rnacentral:rRNA from 1 species